rnacentral:rRNA from 1 species
UUGAACGCUGGCGGCAUGCCUUACACAUGCAAGUCGAACGGCAGCACGGGUGCUUGCACCUGGUGGCGAGUGGCGAACGGGUGAGUAAUACAUCGGAACAUGUCCUGUAGUGGGGGAUAGCCCGGCGAAAGCCGGAUUAAUACCGCAUACGAUCUACGGAUGAAAGCGGGGGACCUUCGGGCCUCGCGCUAUAGGGUUGGCCGAUGGCUGAUUAGCUAGUUGGUGGGGUAAAGGCCUACCAAGGCGACGAUCAGUAGCUGGUCUGAGAGGACGACCGGCCACACUGGGACUGAGACACGGCCCAGACUCCUACGGGAGGCAGCAGUGGGGAAUUUUGGACAAUGGGCGAAAGCCUGAUCCAGCAAUGCCGCGUGUGUGAAGAAGGCCUUCGGGUUGUAAAGCACUUUUGUCCGGAAAGAAAUCCUUGGCCCUAAUACGGUCGGGGGAUGACGGUACCGGAAGAAUAAGCACCGGCUAACUACGUG